rnacentral:rRNA from 1 species
GGCGAUGAGAGAGGUCCGCCGCACGCGACAUCGUGAGAAGUCCACUGAACCUUAUCAUUUAGAGGAAGGAGAAGUCGUAACAAGGUUUUCGUAGGUGAACCUACGGAAGGAUCAUUG